GACCCGAUGCCUGACUAUUAAAAGGAUCAUUUUGAUAGAAUGAAGCAUGUAUUAUUUACUCGUGUCU
rnacentral:tRNA from 1 species